rnacentral:rRNA from 1 species
GACGAACGCUGGCGGCGUGCUUAACACAUGCAAGUCGAACGGAGUGGCGAACGGGUGAGUAACACGUGGGUGACCUGCCCUGCACUUCGGGAUAAGCAUGGGAAACUGGGUCUAAUACCGGAUAGUGUGGGAUGGGACCGCGGGCUAUCAGCUUGUUGGUGGGGUAAUGGCCUACCAAGGAGGCGACGGGUAGCCGGCCUGGGAGGGUGGACGGACACAUUGGGACUGAGACACGGCCCAGACUGCUACGGUAGGCAGCAGUGGGGAAUAUUGCACAAUGGUCGGAAGCCUGAUGCAGCGACUCCGCGUGUGUGAUGACUGGCUUCGGGUUGUAAACUCCUUUCACCAUCGACGCGGUAGAUGGAGAAGAAGCACCGGCUAACUCCGUGCCAGCAGCCGCGGUAAUAC